AGCUGCUCGGGCGCCCGCAGGCCGGGUUCGCCAGGAGUCCCGCACGCUGACGCCGCCCGCGCCAUCUUGACCGAGGGCAGCCUUCCGCUAUUUCCGUUCCUUCUCCGACCAGGACGGCCAUCUUCGGUGAGGGCCAAGCAAAAGAUUUAUGUAGCUGAAUUCAGCCUGUGGACUUCCAAUUUGCAACCGCUAUUUUAAAGAGGAUUUUUUUAGGGAGUAACAGUGGAGCAAAGCAUAAAAAUGAGUACCGCCGACAAGAUUGGCCUGGGCCAGAAACACUCAGGACCCUCGGAUUGCAGUGGGUUCCCAGUCCCCAAUAGAAAAGAAGAUUAAGGCUCCUUGCCCAACAUGGAACUUGAACUCACCACCCCAAGAUCAAGAGUCACAUGCUCUCCCUAUUGAGCCAGCCAGGGGCCCCUCCUAUUCUGAAGUUUAAAGAAGAGGAAGUGGCCCAUAAUCUCCCUGCCCAGAUAACUUCUGUUGAUACUUUUUUGAGAUUUAUUUACUUGAGAGAACGAGAGAGAGAGAGAGAAAAAGAGAGAGGGCAAGCACACUAGCAAGGGGAGGGGCAGAGGGAGAAGCAGACUCUCUGCUGAGCAGGGAGCAUGACUCGGGGCUCAAUCCCAGGACCCUGGGAUCAUGAUCUAAGCCGAAGGUAGGUGCUUAACCCACUAGCCACCCACGUGCCCCAAUACUUUUUAAAAAUAAUGAAAAAGUGCAUGGUUAGAAAACUCAAUUAUAGAAAGAUACAAAAUGCCAAGUGACAGCUAGGCCACUUUGGUUUCCCAAAGGUCAUCCCUCUUUCUUUUUUUAAAUUAAUUUAUUUGAGAGAGAGAGAGCACAAGCAGGAAGGGCAGAGAGAGAAGGACAGGGAUCUCAAGCAGACUCCACACUGAGCGUGGAGCCCGAUUUGGGGCUUGAUUUCAUGUCCCUGAGAUCAUGACCUGAGCUGAAACCAAGAGUCAGACGCUCAACUGACUGAGCCACCCAGGCCCCUUAUGUUUCUUGUAUGAGCAGAGUUUGACGCAAGUAGAAGACAGGCCAACAAAAGGGAAAAAGGAAGGCAACUCUAAACAGAUUUGCUUGAAAAAUUGUAAUAUUAAGACCACAUGUGUGAUUCCAUUAAUGUGAAAUGUCCAGAAUAGGCAACUUUUGACAGAAAAUAGGUUAUCGGUUGGGGCUAAGGGUUACUAAGGAGACAGGUGAGGAAGGGUACCUGCCACUGGUUGGGGACAAGAAUGUUCUGCCUCAGGAUGUGGUGGUUACAGAGCCCUGUGAACAGACUGAGAAACAAUGAAGUGUUCGCUUUAAAUGGGUGAAUGAUAUGGAAUGUGAAGUUCAACCAAGACGGAAGAGAAAGCCGGAGUUUAGAGGGGGAGGUGAGCCUGGGUGGAGGCAAGGAGCCUGGUCACAUAAGGCCUCCACAGCGCUGCAAGCUGUCUCUCAAGUCUCGAAGGCAGCGGGGAGUCACUGAGAACUGACAAGUGGUUUUGAAGAUGUGGAGGGGAUGCGAAGGGCGGGCAGGAAGCGGGGGACACCAGACGGGAGUCUGUCGUAGAAAUCUGGGCAGGAUGGAGAGAAUCAAGACACUAGAUGGGAGGUCGUGACCAAUUAAGGUAGGGGCUGUGGGGGAAAAGAAAUCCUAGCUUCUGGGGUGCCUGAGUGGCUCAGUCAGUUAAACAUCUGCCUUCGGCUCAGAUCAUGGUCCCAGAAUCCUGGGAUCGAGUCCUGCAUCGGGCUCUUUGCUCAGUGGGGAGCCUGCUUCUCCCUCUGUCUGCAGCUCCCCCUGCUUGUGCUCUGUCAAAUAAAUAAAUAAAAUCUUAAAAAAAAAAAAAAAAAGAAAUCCUAGGUUUCUCUGGAGGAAAUAAAGUAGUAGAAGUACCCCUAUAGGGAUUAAGGGAGGACAGAUUUGGGAGCUAAUUUAUACAUAUGUUUAAAACAGCCCCUAUGCUGCCAAUAAGCCAUUGGUCACGUAUGCCUGUAGCUUUUUAGAGUGGAGUCAAAGUUUGGAGAAUGUUCAGGAUAUAGAUGUAGGAGAACUCAUGAGGGUAAGACGGAGGGGGAAGGAGGUCAGGGAAAGGACCAGAUAGAAGGAUGUACAGCUUUCCAGGAGUAGAGUGUUUUUUAAGAUUUUAUUUAUUUAGGGCGCCUGGGUGGCUCAGUUGGUUAAGCAACUGCCUUCGGCUCAGGUCAUGAUCCUGGAGUCCCGGGAUCGAGUCCCGCAUCGGGCUCCCUGCUCAGCGGGGAGUCUGCUUCGCCCUCUGACCCUCCACCCUCUCAUGCUGUCUGUCAUUCUCUCUCUCUCAAUAAAUAAAUAAAAAUCUUUAAAAAAAAUUUUUUUUUAAUUUAUUUGAGAACGAGUGAGCGAGUGAGUAGGGGGACAGAGGGACAGGCAGACUACAGUGAGCAUGGAGCCCGAUGCAGGGCCUGACCCAGGACCCUGAGAUCAUGACCUAAACCGAAAUCAAGAGUCCGACGCUUAACCGACUGAGCCACCCGGGCUCCCCUCCAGGAGUGGAUCUUUAUGUGUCAAAUGCACAGCAUUCAACCCUGGGAUCGAACUAUUUGAGAAGGAAUCACCAAUUUGGCCUAAAACAGCCCCCGGGGAAUGCUGGGAAUGGAGGUGUUCCUCUGCCCGGGUUCCAGGACGGCCAGAAGGGGAGAGCACCUGUGAUCCUUGUUCAAAGAAGAGACAGGACAGUAACUAAGGGUCACGACAGUUGUUUUACGAUGAGAGAUAACCGUGGUUGAAGGGAAAGCACUAGGUAUGGAGGGUGGCGGACACACCUGAGCACCAGGAAGGGCUGGGACCCAGGGAAGGAGGAUGUAGAAAGCUGGGGAGUGGGAAAGGGAACCAGAGAGAGACAAAAAAACAUCAAGGCCAGGCCUGAAGGGCCAGCAAAGAUGGGCAGCCCGGGAGUAGCACCAUCCACCCCGCUGGAUGGUUUUCCUCUUUGGGAUUUGUGCAGAGAGGACUACUGCUGGGGACAGGUAUCCAGCCUGGCCUGGCAGAGGAGAGGGCUAAAGAGUUUCCUGUGAGUAAAUCACAGGCUGCAACCUAUAAAAUGGCUGAUAUGUGACUGCAUUUUACCUACAAGAACAACAAUUUCGUAUAGUUUAACCUAAGAUUUGUGGACUUGACCAGCUAACUUUACAGCUAGAGAACCAUAAUGAUAUACAGGCCAUAACAACCUAACUAAAAAAGUUUUAAUGGGACAGGACUGGAGAAAGGACAAACUCUGGCAUGAUGGGAAAAUGAAAAGUAACUACAAUUAUUUGUGAAGAUGGCAGUGAAUUUCCUUUAAUCAAAGACAACCAUGACAAAUUCAUUAACUAUCAAAAGCUACAUUUUACUAAAAACAAUCUGUCUUUAAAAAUGUUUAAUCAUACAGUAUAUACAAUACAUGCUGCUUUCGUCUUUCGAUUUCACUAUCCAUUUGAGUCCUAAAAGAGGGAAAAAUAGCUGGUUAACAGUUUAUAAAUGAUAAAAUGAAUCAAAAGUUCACCUGAUAUACAUAAAUAGGAUCUAAUAACUAGUCCCUUCUCUCUGAAUAGAGCCCCAGGCCACGCAUAUUAUAUACCUUAUGUCUGUUCUGUUUCCCUCAGUUAUCUUGGAACAAAAGAAGCUCAGUUAAUUGAGGUGCAUAUUAAGAGUUUACGUUAAGUAUUAAAAGCUAAUUUGAAACUCUCAAAAUUAUAGAAAAUUUGAGCUAAAAAAAAAAAAACCCUUAAGGAUCUAAUUCAAAAUCCCCCCAUUUUACAG